UGUCCUGUCGGUGGUGAACGGAGUCCACAAUGCUACAUAGGCUUUAUAGCCGAUGUUAGCGUCGUGUGUACUUCCGUUGGCCGAUCUCUCCUACUUCGGUGCUCUUAAACGAGUGUCGAGGUAGGCCGACACGUUCACUUUGAACAAAUUAGAGUGCUUAAAGCAGGCUAAAAUCUCUGCCUGAAUAGUGGUGCAUGGAAUGAUAAAACAGGACCUCGGUUCUAUUUUGUUGGUUUUAGGAAUAUGAGGUAAUGAUCAAUGUGGACUGGCGGGGGCAUUCGUAUUGCGACGUUAGAGGUGAAAUUCUUGGAUCGUCGCAAGACGCACUAGAGCGAAAGCAUUUGCCAAGUAUGUCUUAAUUGAUCAAGAACGAAAGUUAGAGGUUCGAAGGCGAUCAGAUACCGCCCUAGUUCUAACCAU
rnacentral:rRNA from 1 species